rnacentral:rRNA from 1 species
CCCGGACCUUGCACACACCGCCCGUCAAGCCAUGGAAGCCGGGUGUACCUAAAGUCGGUAACUUAACCGCAAGGGGAUAGCCGUCCAAGGUAUGACUGGUGAUUGGGGUG